CCUCCCUCCAGCUCUCAAACCGAGAAUUCUGUGGUUUGGCCAUAGAUCUGCCGUGUCUCUGCGUGGGCUCUGGUUAAUCAGAGAUGGACUCUGUUGCUUCGAGUUGCGAAGUCUCGGCGCUCGGUUUGAAUUGCUGCUGCCUUGGUGCAGCCUGCCAGUGUAGCUGUGUGUUCUGGUGAUGUGUCUUGGUGAUUUGUUUGCAGUGGCGGGCAAGUCUCCUCUUGAUUGGUCGCCUCGUUUCGGUUUUUGCUUGUCGUUAGUUAUACUCGCGCUGUGGUUGUAACCUACCACUCCCCUCUGUCUCGGCCACUCUCUGCGUCAGCUUCUUCAGCGUAGUUCUGUGUUUUAGAGCAUUUAUUUUAUUUUAUUUUACUUUUUUUUUUGGUUUCUUAGGUCAUUCUCAUCAACGAGCGCGUCGUCGCCGCCAGCUUUGUCUGAUUUUUUGCUUGCAAUCAACUUCUGCCGAAUGUGGAUUCUAUCUUCCCUCACAAAUCGAGUCUAAUUUCUUCUCGUCUCGUAACCCUUGGCAUCAUGUAUGUAAAGUUUUUUCACUACUCAAGUUCAUCAUCGUCAUCAAGCUCCUAAUUCUACUUACAGAUUUCCUCUUUCUAGCGUUUGCGGAAAUUUUAGUUGGCUGAAGUAGCCUUUGGUUUGAAGAACAAGGAUUUUAUUGGCGUGAAGAGUCUCGAGAGGUAGCGUGUGCCAACGUGAUUGGAGAAAGCAUCCACUUAUCCCCCGGUUUCUGCGGCGAAAGAAGACGCUCGGUACGUAAGGGGUUUAACCAAAGACGCAGACGGAUAAGCUAGAGGCUGCAUUGGAUGCAUUGGGAAAGGAAUGCAAUUUUCUGGUGGAAAUCUUCACAGUAGUCGCGAGCUACAGUAAAAUGUGUUUGGUGGAGUUCGUAGCAGCGUUGAGGACGGUUAAGAUAAGGUGGAAGUUGUGGUACAGCGAUGUUUUUUGCUGAAUGUAGGAUAGCGAAAUGUAGCUUACUUUGAAGGUAGUUGAAGCUAGAGGCAGCUGCCAAUGUUUCCAGACAGGUUUUUCAUAGAUUUUCUGUAGUAAUUGGAAUGGGUGACGAAGAGCUUGGUGCAUUUACCCGAGACUUGUUCUGUAUCUUCUGGUUUUUCUUCCUUUCUUACAGUUCUACACUUCCGGUUUUUUCCAGUGAACAAGCCCUACUUCAAAAUAGCUGGUAUUGGAUCACUUGUAAUUCAAUGCAACAUGGCCGUAUCACGAGAACCAGAGAAUGUCAUCGUUUCAAGACAAGGUUCAGUGCUUGGCAAGAAAACUAUCCUCAAGAGUGAUCAUUUCCCUGGUUGUCAAAACAAGCGUCUAUUGCCUCACGUGGAGGGAGCUCCCAAUUACAGACAGGUGGGAAACAAACCUGUAUAUGGCGUGGCCAUUCCAACUGUUGAUGGCAUACGCAGAGUUUUAGAGCUAAUAGGAGCUGGUAAAUACGAAUCUCAACGUGUUUUGUGGCACAACCUACGGGAGGAACCGGUUAUUUAUGUCAAUGGCCGUCCGUUCGUGUUGCGAGAAGUGGAGCGGCCUUUCACAAAUCUUGAGUAUACUGGAAUCAACAGGCAAAGAGUGGAGCAGAUGGAAGCUCGUCUUAAGGUAGAUGUUCUCCAGGAAGCUGCCAGGUAUUCUAACAAGAUUAUGGUCAGUGAUGAACUCCCUGAUGGCCAAAUGAUAGACCAAUGGGAGCCUGUGGGUCCAGACUCCAUUCAAACACCUUUUGAGGUUUACGUCAGUCUGCAGGCAGAAGGUUACCCGGUCGAUUAUGAGCGAAUUCCAAUCACGGACGAGAAGUCACCAAAAGAGCGUGAUUUUGAUUCUCUUGUACAUCGUUUUUCACAAGUUGAUGUAGAGACCAAGUUGGUGUUCAACUGCCAAAUGGGCCGCGGUCGAACCACCACGGGCAUGGUUAUUGCGACUUUGAUUCAUCUUCAGCGUGUCGGAGCUUCAGGGCUACCAAGGUCAAGUUCGAUGGGGACAAUUCAUGAGGCUAGGGAUGAAAUGCUACAUGACGUACCGGACACUGAAGAGGCCCUGAGAAGAGGAGAGUACACAGUAAUCCGAAGUCUUAUCCGCGUGCUGGAGGGCGGUGUGGAAGGUAAACGUCAGGUCGAUAAAGUAAUCGACAGCUGCUCAGCUAUGCAGAACUUGCGGGAGGCAAUCGCUGGUUAUCGGAAUAGCAUUGUCAGGCAAGCCGAUGAAAAAAAGCGUGAAGCUGGACUCUCUUUCUUUGUGGAGUACCUAGAGCGAUACUACUUCCUUAUCUGCUUCGCUGUUUACAUUCACACUGAUAAGACUUCUUUGGGCUCCUCGCACCGGUCAGGCGCCGGCGGUUUUGAGCAAUGGAUGCGUGCACGACCGGAACUUUACAGCAUCCUUCGCAGGUUGCUGAGACGAGAUCCUAUGGGUGCGCUGGGUUAUAGUAAUACCCCCGUGGGUGUCAUAAAAAUGUCUCCAAAAGCUGCGGAUGGUCGUCCGAGUAAGAUGGAGUAUGUUGUGGCCAGUCGGAACGGUGAGGUUUUAGGACGACGGACAAUGUUGAAAAGUGAUCAUUGUCCUGGUUGUCAAAGCCAGUAUCUUCCAGAACUUCUGGACGGAGCUCCUAACUUCAGGGAGGUUGGAGGGUUUCCUGUGUAUGGAGUUGCUAAUCCAACGAUUGAUGGCAUCCGCGCUGUGCUGCAAAGAGUUGGUGAAGGUAGCAGUGAACGACCGGUAUUGUGGCACAACAUGAGGGAGGAACCUGUCGUAUACAUUAAUGGGAAGCCAUUUGUCUUGCGAGAAGUUGAACGUCCCUACAAGAACAUGCUCGAAUAUGAAGGCAUAGAGAGGGCAAGAGUAGAGCAGAUGGAAGCCCGAUUGAAAGAGGACAUAUUACGAGAAGCUGAAAGAUAUUCAGGUGCUAUAAUGGUGAAUCAUGAGAUGGAUGACGGACAGAUUUUUGAUUCAUGGGAGCCUGUUGGUCCUGGUGCAGUUCAGACACCUCUGGAGGUUUAUGAAUGUUUGAAAGCUGAAGGCUAUCAGGUGGAGUAUGCUAGGGUUCCUAUUACUGAUGGCAAGGCUCCCAAAAGUUCCGACUUUGGUGCUCUUGCUUCUCGCAUCGCAACUGCUACAAGAGACACCGCUUUUGUCUUCAACUGUCAGAUGGGACGAGGUCGGACCACCACUGGGAUGGUGAUAGCGUGUCUGGUUCUUCUGCGAUGUGAGUAUGGCAUUCCACUUCGGAUGCCUGACCUAAUUCCACAUGGGGACGAAGCAGACAGUGGAUUAAGUAGUGGAGAGGAGGUUAACGGUGACAUGCUUGUGGGUAGUCCUGCAAAUAGGGUGCAGGAUCAAAAUUGUAUUGCAGGAUUUGUGAUGGAUGAUAUCCCCAUUGUCCGGAAAAUAACGCGCCUGCUUGAUAAUGGGGCGGAAUGCCGGGAGGCCUUAGAUAGUGUCAUUGAUCACUGUGCUGCGAUGCAAAAUUUACGGCAAGCUGUUCUGCAUUACCGACGGGCAUUCAACGAUCAAAAGCUGGAGCAUCAUGCUCGUCGUGCAGCUUUGAAUCGAGGUAUUGAGUAUCUUGAACGGUACUUGAUGUUGAUAGCUUUUGCUGCUUACUUGAACAGCAGUUCUUUCGAUGGAUACUGCCAAGGUGGCUCUGGAACAACCUUCAAGGCGUGGCUUCAUCGUCAUCCAGAAGUGAGGCAAAUGAAAUGGAGCAUGCGAUUGAGACCGACCCGCGUGUUCACUAUCAAUGAGAUAGAGUUCAAAGUACAUGGAGAGAAUAAUCAGGAAGACUCUGUAAUGGAAGCGGUUGUGAAGUCACGCACUGGUUCCAUAUUAGGGAAACACUCUCUCCUUAAGAUGUACUUUUUCCCGGGACAGAAAACUACUUCAGACCAUGUACCAAUUACUGGUGCACCCCAUGUUUGUAAGGUGGAGGGAUUUCCUGUGCAUAGUAUGGCGACUCCUACUAUAGAAGGGGCUAAAGCUGUGUUGACUCAUCUGUGUGCCGGUCCAUCGUCUGGGAUGCAGCGGAAAGCUGUUGUAACAGACCUUCGCGAAGAAGUAGUGGUGUAUGUGCAUGAUAAUCCAUUUGUCCUUCGCGAGGUUGAUCAGCCUGCUAGCACCUUAAAACACGUUGGUGUGAAAGCCCACGUGGUUGAACAAAUGGAGAGUAGGCUGAAGGAGGAUAUUUUGGCUGAAGUAGAGCGCACAGGAGGCCGUAUGCUUUUGCACAGGGAAGAGUAUAGCGUAAUCACUGGUCAUUCAGACAUAAUUGGUUAUUGGGAAGUAAUCAGUGCUGAGGAUGUUCAAACCCCUGCCGAGAUGUAUGCUAAUUUACGAGCAGAAGGAUAUAACCUUGAUUACCAGCGUAUUCCUCUUACCAGGGAAAGAGCAGCUGUAACUGCUGACGUCGAUGCCAUCCAUCGACGUUUGGACGAAGCUGGUUCAGGGGUGGAGUAUUGCUUCAUAUCACAUACAGGAUUUGGAGGUGUUGCCUACGCAAUGGCUAUGACGUGCCUUAGGUUGCAAGCUGAACAACAAUUGGCCAGCUUGUCUUUGUCAUCCUCUACGAAAACGGACAUCGUUAAUUUUCAUUUGAUGGCAAAUAAUAAGAUGGUCCAAAGGCCUGCUGAUGAUACGGAGGCCUUUCGACAGGGUGAUUACCGUGAUAUAUUAAGUCUCACUCGAGUUUUGGCAAGUGGACCAGCAAGUAAAGACGAAGUCGAUGUCGUGAUUGACCGGUGCGCUGUGGCCGGACAUUUACGUGAUGACAUCUUUGAUUACAUGUGUCAGUUGAAUCACUUCACCAACUUAGAAGAUGAGCGUAGAUAUAAUGUUCUUGACAUGGGUGUAAAUGCUCUAAGAAGGUAUUUUUUCUUGAUUGCCUUCAGGUCUUAUCUUUUCAGCAGAGUUGCUCUUCAUGGCAAUGCUUGCGCGGGCGAAACCUCGUUCAGUGAUUGGAUGAAAGCUCGGCCUGAACUUGGUCAUCUUUAUGAUAAUCUCAAGCUCAAAUGAUUAUGUGUGAGUUCACACUCAUUGCUCUAAACAAAGUAGAUUAAAGUUUUGGGCAGCAUUUCUCGAGUUGUUCUUGAUGAUGGAACUUGGCCCGAGUGUACAGCUUUUGUAGCUUGCAAUGGCAAAAACCAGAUAUUUCAGAUUGGGCUGACAGUGCGCUGGACACAUUUUAUUAUUCAGACCAUGUAAAGUAUGCGUACGAAGCAUAUGCGCAGGGCUAUGCUUCUAACCCUCAAGUAUCUCUAGAUGAGUUCCUCAAACGCGGCUGUAGUGGUGUUGAGCCUUUUAGUUUUCGAGAUAUGCACCGUUGAGAGCUUUCCACGGUUGUCUCAGCAAAGUACAUAAUUUUCAGGCCCUAGCUCGAAUCCUUCUUUUGCACGUAACAUUUGAGUAUGAUAGAGAGGCCUUGGCAACUUGGUUGCUGAAGUCUCGCAGCAGAGAUCAUGUUGUCAUCGGAAUUCGUGGAGGUAGCCGGGGCCGACCAGUGCUGGGAGGAAGUCACUAAGGAAGCACGAGGUGGAGGGAGAGCUUGCAGACAUGAGGGACGACCAAACGUGGAGGAUCACACCAGCAGACGCUGGAUAUAUCGGUGUGAGCCCUAUGUUUCUAUUGCCAGAAUUAGGAUAACGAGACUUCUAUAUAAUCUACAGCCUCAACUGCGGAUACAAUCUUAUUCUAAGCAAUUUGGUUCCACUCUGAUCAUACUGGGCCAAGGUGGUACCGUAUUGCAAUCUAAUUUCGUUCCAACUACCGCAUGUGACUCAUAUUUUCAUCAUUACAAAAUGAGGGGGGGAAGAGAGAGAGAAAUGGGGACCAUGCCCGGACCCCUAUCGACAGCAGCUUCGCCCCCGAAGGCGAAGGUCUGCAAUACCCGGGCAGUCAAUACUUAAGCGCCCGGAUGUACCCAGACCGUAUAUAGUUCCGUAUGUAAUACCAUAUACGUAUCGUAUCACAUACUACAUACAACACAUAGUGUAUUGGAUAUAAUACGGUAUUAGUAUGGUAUUCAGAACCAUAUGAUAUUAGAAUUUUUCAAUAUCCUAGAUUUCUUCUGGAUGUUCAAAAGAUACUAAAAAGAUGCUAAAGUGAUGUCCAACAAGAUGUCUUCUAAAUUUGGAAUUUUCUAUUAGGUUUUCUAUAUUAAA